UGGUCAUUUCACCCCUAGAGGUGAAUUUUGACUUAAAUGUCAAAUUAAAAUUUGAAAAUAGAAUAAUUAACAUUAAUUAAAAUUUAUGAAAUAGAUUAGGAAAAAGAGAAAAGGAAAGAAAGGAAAAGAAAGGAAAGGAAAAGAAAAGAAAAGGAAAGGAAAGGCUUAGGAAAAUUCAAAAAAAAAAAAGUAUAUAAAUAGACACAAGAAGACAAACCCCACCAACCCCAAGCUUCCAUCUUCUUCUUCCCUCUUCUCUCUCUCUCUCCCUCUCUUGGAAACCGUCCACCGUGGGAGCUCUCUCCCUCCAUUUUUGUUCUUCUUAAAGCUUGAUUUUCCAAGCUUUCUCCUCCCCAAAACCCAUAGACCCCUUCACAAAAAAUUUAGCCCACACCAUAAGGAAGCUUUAGAUACCCAUAAGAAGAAGAAAGAUUAAAGUUUGAAGUGGGUCACAAGAGGUACUGAAGAUCAGCAGCCGCCACAGUAGUAUUCGGACAGAGUUCCGACCAGAUCUGCCACCGAUCAGAGUCACCUCACCAGUCUUUUGUAUUUUGGUAGGGCCCAUGUAUAGACUAGUAUUUUGGUUCAUUAUGUCUAGUCAUGAUGUAUUUUAUUUUGGACUUGUAAUUAAACUUUGAGAUUGAAAUGAAAACUUGUAAUUUAUUAUC